CUCGGAGCGCCUCCGCGCGGCUCGGCGGGACGUGGGGGCGCCCCCAGCCCAGCGGCCGGGAACGCGGGCCGGGCCCUGCCCCGCAGCUCUGCGCCCCCGGACGGCCGCCACGGCGCUCAGCAUCUUCCCAGCGUCGUCCGUUCCUCCCCUUGGGCCGCCGCUCCCCUCGUUUCCCGUGGACCCUCCGGGCCGCCCCGUGCGCGGGCCCAGCACACCAGGACACGGGUGGAGUGGGCGUGUCCCCUUGCGAGCCUGAGCCGCCCUACAGACCUGUCCGGUAAUCUAACGGGAAAGGCCAGGAAGGACGGAGCCACUUCACAGAGAACUGAAAUCCAGAGGGCCAGGAACAAGCUCACACCACGCAGCGAUCUGAACGCUGACUUCCUGUCCUAGGAGAAGAGAAGACAAGACAGAGACAGGAAAGUCUAACAGGGAGCGGCCAUAGAAAGUGAUGAUUCAGAGCACAGACGCACUCAGACCUGUCCUCCAGGCAGUGUGACCCCGGGAGUCUCCUCACCCUUCUGAGCCUCGUUUGCCUUACCUGUAGAAUUGGGAACAAGAAGGGCACCUGCUUCAUAGGAUGUUUUGAGGGUUAACUGAGAGGCUGCAUGGAAAUCACUUAGCACAGUGCCUGGAAGGUAGGAAGUGCUCAGGAAAUCAUCAAUAAAUUAAUAAAUGUAAAGCUGGUAUCCGACUGUGAUGGUCUUUGUUAAUGUGUCAGCUUGGAUGGGUUGCAGCCCCCACUUAUACAAUCAAAUACUAAUCUAGAUGUUGUGAUGAAGGUAUUUGGUAGAUGCAAUUAAAUCAAUUGACUUUAAGAGAUUAUCCUAGAUAAUCUGGGUGGGCAGGAUUCAAUCAGUUGAAAGGCCUUAAGAUCAGGAAGAAGAAAUUCUCCCUGUGGACAGUAGCUUCAGCCCUUGGCAAGAGUUCCAGCCUGCACCUAAGGAUUUCAUACUUGUCUAGCCAGCCCCACAAUCUCCUAAACCAACU
rnacentral:lncRNA from 1 species